CUUGAGAAUCUCUGCUGUAAAGGGACAAGAUCUCAUCUGAUCUUGGAAGGUAAGUAUAGUAUGCUCUGUUUAGUACUUGGGUAGGAGACCACCAGUGAAUACCAUGUGCUGUAGGGC
rnacentral:rRNA from 1 species